rnacentral:rRNA from 1 species
UACAGGGGGGGCAAGCGUUGUUCGGAAUUACUGGGCGUAAAGGGCUCGUAGGCGGCCAACUAAGUCCGACGUGAAAUCCCAAAGCUUAACUUUGGAACUGCGUCGGAUACUGGAUGGCUUGAAUUCGGGAGAGGGAUGCAGAAUUCCAGGUGUAGCGGUGAAAUGCGUAGAUAUCUGGAGGAAUCCCGGUGGCGAAGGCGGCAUCCUGGACCGACAUUGACGCUGAGGAGCGAAAGCUAGGGGAGCAAACGGG